rnacentral:misc_RNA from 1 species
GGAAGAUGCUCUUUUAUUUGGUGGGUUUAGUUUUUGCUAUGGUAGGGGCUAGCUAUGCUGCAGUUCCCCUGUACAGAAGAUUCUGCCAAGCCACGGGAUAUGGAGGUACAAUUCAACGCCGGGAGAGUGUUGAAGAAAAGAUUGCCCGACACGAGAAAGAUGGAAGAGUUACUUCCAGGGAGAUUGCAGUACAAUUCAAUGCUGAUGUAGCAGACGGGAUGCCUUGGAAGUUUACUCCAACACAGCGUGAGGUAAGAGUAAAACCAGGAGAGAGCGCUCUAGCGUUUUACACUGCUGAAAAUCGAAGUUCGACUCCUAUUACAGGUGUAUCAACAUACAAUGUGACCCCCAUGAAGGCUGCUGUAUAUU